rnacentral:rRNA from 1 species
UACAGAGGUCUCGAGCGUUGUUCGGAUUCAUUGGGCGUAAAGGGUGCGUAGGCGGCGCGGUAAGUCGGGUGUGAAAUCUCGGAGCUUAACUCCGAAACUGCAUUCGAUACUGCCGUGCUUGAGGACUGGAGAGGAGACUGGAAUUUACGGUGUAGCGGUGAAAUGCGUAGAUAUCGUAAGGAAGACCAGUGGCGAAGGCGGGUCUUUGGACAGUUCCUGACGCUGAGGCACGAAGGUCAGGGGAGCAAACGGG